UAGUCCAUGCCGUAAACGGUGAUUACUCGAUGUUGGCGAUACAUUGUCAGCGUCCAAGCGAAAGCGUUAAGUAAUCCACCUGGGGAGUACGAUCGCAAGAUUGAAACUCAAAGGAAUUGACGGGGGCCCGCACAAGCGGUGGAGCAUGUGGUUUAAUUCGAUGAUACGCGAGGAACCUUACCAAGGCUUAAAUGCAGAACGACAGAAAUGGAAACAUUUCUUUCUUCGGACGGACUGCAAGGUGCUGCAUGGUUGUCGUCAGCUCGUGCCGUGAGGUGUCGGGUUAAGUCCCAUAACGAGCGCAACCCCUACUUCUAGUUGCCAGCGGAUAAUGCCGGGGACUCUAGAGGAACUGCCCGUGUAAACGGUGAGGAAGGUGGGGAUGACGUCAAAUCAUCACGGCCCUUACGCCUUGGGCUACACACGUGCUACAAUGGUGGAGACAGAGAGUCGCAAACUCGCGAGAGUAAGCUAAAUCUUCAAAACGUCCACUACUCACGUUCGGUAGUCGUUAGGU
rnacentral:rRNA from 1 species